GCGGGUGUAGCUCAAUGGCAGAGCGUCAGCUUCCCAAGCUGGUCACGUGGGUUCGAUUCCCAUCACCCGCUCCA
rnacentral:tRNA from 1 species